rnacentral:rRNA from 1 species
GAUGAACGCUGGCGGCGUGCCUAAUACAUGCAAGUCGAGCGAACAGACGAGGAGCUUGCUCCUCUGACGUUAGCGGCGGACGGGUGAGUAACACGUGGAUAACCUACCUAUAAGACUGGGAUAACUUCGGGAAACCGGAGCUAAUACCGGAUAAUAUAUUGAACCGCAUGGUUCAAUAGUGAAAGACGGUUUUGCUGUCACUUAUAGAUGGAUCCGCGCCGCAUUAGCUAGUUGGUAAGGUAACGGCUUACCAAGGCAACGAUGCGUAGCCGACCUGAGAGGGGGAUCGGCCACACUGGAACUGAGACACGGUCCAGACUCCUACGGGAGGCAGAAGUAGGGAAUCGUCCGCAAGGGGCGAAAGCUUGACGGAGCAACGCCGCGUGAGUGAUGAAGGUCUUCGGAUCGUAAAACUCUGUUAUUAGGGAAGAACAAAUGUGUAAGUAACUAUGCACGUCUGGACGGUACCAAAUCAGAAAGCCACGGCUAACUACG